CGUGCACAGCUGUAUUCUUCCUGUCAGUUCAUUUUACCUUAUUGCACGUAACCAUGAGGAAAGUGCUUGCUUUGUGGUUUCUCUGUUUUACGUUAGUGGGAGCCUUGUCCAAGGAUCCUUGUGUGACAGAUGCUGACUGCACAUGUGCCACUGAUCUUUUUCCUCACUGUCACCAUGGAAAGUGUUACUGUCAUCACAGUACUCACGAGUGUAAUCACCCUUACGACUGCACGUGUGAGCCCAAUCAUCACGCCACGUGCGACCAUCAUCUCUGUCACUGCCAUCCCAACACGCACUGAACGUGCGAUCUGAAUGAAAGUUCUACAGAUAUUCAAUAUGGAAGAAAUAAAAUGCCUGAAAUAAUUGUUA